rnacentral:lncRNA from 1 species
UAGGCUCCAGUAGGUCUGGGGGCUAUGUGCUUAGUGGUCAUCAAGGAGUUAGCUUUAGAGAACAAUUUUAAUUAUGGCUUUUUUUUUUCUAGACUAGAAAUCUCCCUUAACUCUAAGGUUUUUACAUCAUUCACAUUUUAAGCUCCUUACAAAGAAUAGAUUCUCUUGGGUUACCAUCAACUUCUUACUUUAUAUAUAUUAAUACUUUAUGUAUUUAGGUGCUCCUAUAUAGGGUGCAUAUAUAUUUACAUGUGUUAUAGCUUCUUCUUGGAUUUAUCCCUUGAUAAUUGUGUAAUGUCCUGCUUUGUCUCUUGUAGUAAUCCUUGUUGUAAAGUCUAUUUUGUCUGAUCAUAAGUAUCUCUACCCCAUGUUUGUUUCGAUUUGUACAGAAUACUUUUUUUCUAUUCCCUCACUUUUGGUCUGUGUGUGUCUUCAGACCUAAAGUGAGUCUCUUGUAGGCAGCAUAUAUACAGGUCUUAUUUUUGUAUCCAUUCAACCACUCUGUCAUUUGAUUGAAGCAUUUAGUCAAUCUAAUUUUUUUUGUUUGUUUUUCUUAUUUUUUAGGGCUGCAUCUGUAGCAUAUGGAAGUUCCCAAGCUAGGGGUUGAAUUGGAGCUGCAGCUACCAGUCUAUACCACAGCCACAGCAACACCAGAUCUCAGCUGAGAUCUGGCCAGGGAUGGAACCCACAUCCUCAUGGAUACUAGUUGAAGUCUUUUUUGCUGCGCCACAAUGGCAACUCCGUCAAUUUACACUUAAAGUGAUUAUUGAUAUGUAUGUUCUUAUUGCCAUUUUGUUAAUUGCUUUUGGGUUUUUAUAAAUAACAUUUCCUCUUGGAAGAAUGGGAGGACAGUGACACAUAAUAUGCCACAUCCUGCUUUUUCUGCCCCCCUCUUUUUUUUUUUUCUUUUUUUAGCUCCAUGGAAUGACUCAACCAUAUAACUGGAGAAAAUUUAUCCUCAUUAAGAGAUGGGCUUAAUUCAGCUCUCUUCUGGAUGGCCAGAGGGAUGUGGCCAACGACCUGGUCUCAAAUUUCUUUCAAAGCAUCAAAGUGCUCAGGAUAAAACAAAACAAACAAACAAAAAAAACAACCAACCAACCACACAAAAGUUAUCCAAGAAGAAAGGUAGGACUCAAUCUACAGAAUCAGAACACCUUGACCUUGGCUGCCAAAAUGCAAACUAAAAUAAAACACUUUUUCUUAGUUGUAUU